rnacentral:rRNA from 1 species
CGUUCGCUCCCCUAGCUUUCGCGCCUCAGCGUCAGUAGUCAGCCCAGCAACCCGCCUUCGCCGCAGGUGUUCCUCUCGAUAUCUACGCAUUUCACCGCUACACCGAGAAUUCCAGUUGCCCCUUCUGCACUCUAGUCCGACAGUAUCAGUUGACCGUUCUGAGUUAAGCCCAGAGAUUUCACAACUGACUUGUCGUGACCGCCUACGCGCCCUUUACGCCCAGU